rnacentral:rRNA from 1 species
CCUACGGGAGGCAGCAGUGGGGAAUAUUGGACAAUGGGCGAAAGCCUGAUCCAGCCAUGCCGCGUGUGUGAAGAAGGCCUUCGGGUUGUAAAGCACUUUCAGUGGGGAAGAAAGCCUUGGGGCUAAUACCCUCGAGGAAGGACAUCACCCACAGAAGAAGCACCGGCUAACUCCGUGCCAGCAGCCGCGGUAAUACGGAGGGUGCGAGCGUUAAUCGGAAUUACUGGGCGUAAAGCGCGCGUAGGCGGUCUGAUAAGCCGGUUGUGAAAGCCCCGGGCUCAACCUGGGAACGGCAUCCGGAACUGUCAGGCUAGAGUGCAGGAGAGGAAGGUAGAAUUCCCGGUGUAGCGGUGAAAUGCGUAGAGAUCGGGAGGAAUACCAGUGGCGAAGGCGGCCUUCUGGACUGACACUGACGCUGAGGUGCGAAAGCGUGGGUAGCAAACAGGAUUAGAUACCCUGGUGUC